GACGAACGCUGGCGGCAUGCCUAAUACAUGCAAGUUGAACGAUGAUAUUCUCUGCUUGCAGAGAAUUGAAGAGUAGCGAACGGGUGAGUAACACGUGGGGAACCUGCCCAUGAGAGGGGGAUAACAUUCGGAAACGGAUGCUAAUACCGCAUAAUGCUUUGGACCGCCUGGUCCAGAGGCGAAAGACGGCUUUUGCUGUCACUCAUGGAUGGCCCCGCGCCGUAUUAGCUAGUUGGUGAGGUAAUGGCUCACCAAAGCUGUGAUACGUAGCCGACCUGAGAGGGUGAUCGGCCACACUGGGACUGAGACACGGCCCAGACUCCUACGGGAGGCAGCAGUAGGGAAUCUUCCACAAUGGGCGAAAGCCUGAUGGAGCAAUGCCGCGUGAAUGAAGAAGGUCUUCGGAUCGUAAAGUUCUGUUAUUAGAGAAGAACAAGUCAAGGAGUAACUGUCUUGACUUUGACGGUACCUAACCAGAAAGUCACGGCUAACUACGUG
rnacentral:rRNA from 1 species